rnacentral:rRNA from 1 species
AGAGUUUGAGUUAUGGCUCAGAAUGAACGCUGGCGGCAUGGAUUAGGCAUGCAAGUCGAACGUGCUCCCUUCGGGGAGAAAGUGGCGAAAGGGUGAGUAACACGUGAGCAACCUGCCUCCGGAUCCGGAAUAAUCCAGGGAAACUUGGUCUAAAACCGGAUGAAGACAUUGGUCCGCAUGGUCUAAUGUUAAAAUAUUUAUAGUCCGGAGAGGGGCUCGCGGCCCAUUAGCUUGUUGGCGGGGUAAUGGCCCACCAAGGCUACGACGGGUAGGUGGUCUGAGAGGAUGGUCACCCACACUGGGACUGAGACACUGCCCAGACUCCUACGGGAGGCUGCAGUCGAGAAUCUUCCGCAAUGGGCGCAAGCCCUGACGGAGCGAUGCCGCGUGAGGGAUGAAGGCCUUCGGGUUGUAAACCUCUGUCAUCCGGGACGAAAACAAUGACGGUACCGGAAAAGGAAGCCACGGCUAACCACGUGCCAGCCGCGGC